AGAGUUUGAUCCCAGCUCAGGAUGAACGCUGGCGGUGUGCCUAACACAUGCAAGUCGUGCGAUCGAGCUAGACUGAUCACCCUUCGGGGUGUGAAGACUAGUGACGGAGCGGCGGACUGGUGAGUAACACGUGGCUAACCUACCUUCUUGACGGGGAUAACUAUUCGAAAGAAUAGCUAAUACCCGAUAUUGCUGAAGAUCGAUGGAUCUUCAGCCAAAGGCGGCCUAGUCGUCACAAGAGGAUGGGGCUGCGCCCUAUUAGCUUGUUGGUAAGGUAAUGGCUUACCAAGGCAAUGAUGGGUAGCUGGUCUGAGAGGAUGAUCAGCCACAUUGGGACUGAGAUACGGCCCAGACUCCUACGGGAGGCAGCAGUGGGGAAUAUUUCACAAUGGGCGAAAGCCUGAUGGAGCAACACCGCGUGGGGGAUGAAUG
rnacentral:rRNA from 1 species